rnacentral:rRNA from 1 species
GGGUUGUGAGGUUAAGCGACUAAGCGUACACGGUGGAUGCCCUGGCAGUCAGAGGCGAUGAAGGACGUGCUAAUCUGCGAAAAGCGUCGGUAAGGUGAUAUGAACCGUUAUAACCGGCGAUGUCCGAAUGGGGAAACCCAGUGUGAUUCGUCACACUAUCGUUAACUGAAUACAUAGGUUAACGAGGCGAACCGGGGGAACUGAAACAUCUAAGUACCCCGAGGAAAAGAAAUCAACCGAGAUUCCCCCAGUAGCGGCGAGCGAACGGGGAGCAGCCCAGAGUCUGAAUCAGCUUGUGUGUUAGUGGAACGGUCUGGAAAGUCCGACGGUACAGGGUGAUAGUCCCGUACACCAAAAUGCACAGGUUGUGAACUCGAAGAGUAGGGCGGGACACGUGGUAUCCUGUCUGAAUAUGGGGGGACCAUCCUCCAAGGCUAAAUACUCCUGACUGACCGAUAGUGAACCAGUACCGUGAGGGAAAGGCGAAAAGAACCCCGGCGAGGGGAGUGAAAAAGAACCUGAAACCGUGUACGUACAAGCAGUGGGAGCACCUUCGGGUGUGACUGCGUACCUUUUGUAUAAUGGGUCAGCGACUUAUAUUCUGUAGCAAGGUUAACCGUAUAGGGGAGCCGCAGGGAAACCGAGUCUUAACUGGGCGUUAAGUUGCAGGGUAUAGACCCGAAACCCGGUGAUCUAGCCAUGGGCAGGUUGAAGGUUGGGUAACACUAACUGGAGGACCGAACCGACUAAUGUUGAAAAAUUAGCGGAUGACUUGUGGCUGGGGGUGAAAGGCCAAUCAAACCGGGAGAUAGCUGGUUCUCCCCGAAAGCUAUUUAGGUAGCGCCUCGUGAAUUCAUCUUCGGGGGUAGAGCACUGUUUCGGCUAGGGGGUCAUCCCGACUUACCAACCCGAUGCAAACUACGAAUACCGAAGAAUGUUAUCACGGGAGACACACGGCGGGUGCUAACGUCCGUCGUGAAGAGGGAAACAACCCAGACCGCCAGCUAAGGUCCCAAAGUCAUGGUUAAGUGGGAAACGAUGUGGGAAGGCACAGACAGCCAGGAUGUUGGCUUAGAAGCAGCCAUCAUUUAAAGAAAGCGUAAUAGCUCACUGGUCGAGUCGGCCUGCGCGGAAGAUGUAACGGGGCUAAACCAUGCACCGAAGCUGCGGCAGCGACACUAUGUGUUGUUGGGUAGGGGAGCGUUCUGUAAGCCUGCGAAGGUGACCUGUGAGGGUUGCUGGAGGUAUCAGAAGUGCGAAUGCUGACAUAAGUAACGAUAAAGCGGGUGAAAAGCCCGCUCGCCGGAAGACCAAGGGUUCCUGUCCAACGUUAAUCGGGGCAGGGUGAGUCGACCCCUAAGGCGAGGCCGAAAGGCGUAGUCGAUGGGAAACAGGUUAAUAUUCCUGUACUUGGUGUUACUGCGAAGGGGGGACGGAGAAGGCUAUGUUAGCCGGGCGACGGUUGUCCCGGUUUAAGCAUGUAGGCUGGUUGUCCAGGCAAAUCCGGAUAAUCAAGGCUGAGGUGUGAUGACGAGGCACUACGGUGCUGAAGUAACAAAUGCCCUGCUUCCAGGAAAAGCCUCUAAGCAUCAGGUAACAUCAAAUCGUACCCCAAACCGACACAGGUGGUCAGGUAGAGAAUACCAAGGCGCUUGAGAGAACUCGGGUGAAGGAACUAGGCAAAAUGGUGCCGUAACUUCGGGAGAAGGCACGCUGGUGUGUAGGUGAAGUCCCUGCGGAUGGAGCUGAGACCAGUCGAAGAUACCAGCUGGCUGCAACUGUUUAUUAAAAACACAGCACUGUGCAAACACGAAAGUGGACGUAUACGGUGUGACGCCUGCCCGGUGCCGGAAGGUUAAUUGAUGGGGUUAUCCGUAAGGAGAAGCUCUUGAUCGAAGCCCCGGUAAACGGCGGCCGUAACUAUAACGGUCCUAAGGUAGCGAAAUUCCUUGUCGGGUAAGUUCCGACCUGCACGAAUGGCGUAAUGAUGGCCAGGCUGUCUCCACCCGAGACUCAGUGAAAUUGAACUCGCUGUGAAGAUGCAGUGUACCCGCGGCAAGACGGAAAGACCCCGUGAACCUUUACUAUAGCUUGACACUGAACAUUGAGCCUUGAUGUGUAGGAUAGGUGGGAGGCUUUGAAGCGUGGACGCCAGUCUGCGUGGAGCCAACCUUGAAAUACCACCCUUUAAUGUUUGAUGUUCUAACGUUGGCCCCUGACCGGGGUUGCGGACAGUGUCUGGUGGGUAGUUUGACUGGGGCGGUCUCCUCCCAAAGCGUAACGGAGGAGCACGAAGGUUAGCUAAUCCUGGUCGGACAUCAGGAGGUUAGUGCAAUGGCAUAAGCUAGCUUGACUGCGAGCGUGACGGCGCGAGCAGGUGCGAAAGCAGGUCAUAGUGAUCCGGUGGUUCUGAAUGGAAGGGCCAUCGCUCAACGGAUAAAAGGUACUCCGGGGAUAACAGGCUGAUACCGCCCAAGAGUUCAUAUCGACGGCGGUGUUUGGCACCUCGAUGUCGGCUCAUCACAUCCUGGGGCUGAAGUAGGUCCCAAGGGUAUGGCUGUUCGCCAUUUAAAGUGGUACGCGAGCUGGGUUUAGAACGUCGUGAGACAGUUCGGUCCCUAUCUGCCGUGGGCGCUGGAGAAUUGAGGGGGGCUGCUCCUAGUACGAGAGGACCGGAGUGGACGCAUCACUGGUGUUCGGGUUGUCAUGCCAAUGGCACUGCCCGGUAGCUAAAUGCGGAAGAGAUAAGUGCUGAAAGCAUCUAAGCACGAAACUUGCCCCGAGAUGAGUUCUCCCUGAGACUUUAAGUCUCCUGAAGGAACGUUAAAGACGAUGACGUUGAUAGGCCGGGUGUGUAAGCGCAGCGAUGCGUUGAGCUAACCGGUACUAAUGAACCGUGAGGCUUAACCUUACAACGCCGAAG